ACAAACUCUUUCAAAGACUGAAAAAAGAGCGAACACUGCCAAAUUCAUGUUAUGAGGCCAGAAAAACUUUGAUACUAAAAUCAGACAAGAAAGGAUGGGGACAUUCCAAGAAAGGAUGGGGAACAACUGGAAGUCUCAUACCUCCUCCAUUUGCCCCAGGCAGCUUUCCUGAGCCUUGGAUGACCACUUCACAAUUCUUAUACUCCAGGUAAGUUUUAUAUCCCAGGGCCGCAUGACUCACUGAACUAACGUAUUGAAGGACAUCCUGUUUCUGAAUGGGACUAGAACAGAGUCCAGACAGUUUUAUACCUGCAGGAGGGUAUGUCCAUUGGUACCACUACUUUGGGAAGCUGGUUCAAAUUAUCAACUGAAGUUGAAGUGACUUUAUGAACCAUCAGUUCCACCUCCAGGCACAUACCAAUCAAAAUGUGUUCCCGUUUUUUUUUUUCCUCCCUGACACCACCGAGGUCGCACGCGUGAGGCCUCUCCGCCGCCCGCCGCCGCAGACAGGGCCCCGAUGCACUACAUCGCCUCCUACCUGCUGGCUGCCCUCAGGGGUAACUCUUCCCCCAGCGUCAAGGACAUCAAGAAGAUCUUGGACAGUGUGGGCAUCGAGGCGGACGACGACCGGCUCAACAAGGUUAUUAGUGAGCUGAAUGGAAAAAACAUUGAAGAUGUCAUUGCCCAAGGUAUUGGCAAGCUUGCCAGUGUACCUGCCGGUGGGGCUGUGGCCGUCUCCGCUGCCCCAGGCUCUGCAGCGUCUGCUGCUGGCUCCGCGCCUGCUGCAGCAGAGGAGAAGAAAGAUGAGAAGAAGAAGGAGUCUGAAGAGUCAGACGAUGACAUGGGAUUUGGCCUCUUUGAUUAAAUUCCUGCUUCCCUGCAAAUAAAGUCUUUUUACACAUUUAAAA